rnacentral:tRNA from 1 species
GUUUUUAUAGUUGAAUUACAGCGGCAGCUUUUCGAGCUGUAGGUCUAGGUUAAAACCCUGGUAAAAACU